rnacentral:sRNA from 1 species
CGCUGUGCUGUUAUCCAUCAUGCGCAUGUGCUGCCAACAAAAAGGCGUCAGCAACACACACACAAGUCACAGCUGAAAACCAUGCAAACCAUUCCCGUGGCACACAAACAUAAGACAACGUUUAGUCUGAUGUACACAUUUAUUAACAAAGGUCGUGGACGGUAGGAAGAACAAAAGCAGAAAUAUUAAAUAAAAUUACCAAGAUUUUAAUUACAGAAAGAAAUUUGAUAUGCUGCAGUAAUUGCUUCCGAAUCGAAUAGGCCGAACAUAUAAUGUAAAACGUCCUGAAAUUUGGGAACUUUAAAAAUUGAAAUGCGAUCUACAAUUUAUGCAGCGAUGGAAUAUUUCAACGCUAAGGAUUUAUAUUACCAAUUACAAUCGGACGUACACCUUUGAUGUCUAUAAAAUAUUGGGUAAAUGGCGUAACGGAUCUUCUGGGAAACUAUGGUGCUUACUCCUAUGCGACUUAUUUGGGAAUUUCUCCAAAGCCAUUGAAAACUUAAUGUGUGAACGUUUUUAUUUUAAUAGUUAAUAUAUACGAAAUUUAUAUUCACUACGUGUAAAUUUGAAAUAUAUUAA